rnacentral:tRNA from 1 species
GCAGGGAUGCCGGAGCGGUCAAACGGGCGAGAUUAAGGCUCUCGUGACUUAUGUCUACGCAGGUUCGAAUCCUGUUCCUUGCA